rnacentral:rRNA from 2 species
AAAACGACUCUCGGCAACGGAUAUCUAGGCUCUCGCAUCGAUGAAGAACGUAGCGAAAUGCGAUACUUGGUGUGAAUUGCAGAAUCCCGCGAAUCAUCGAGUUUUUGAACGCAAGUUGCGCCCGAAGCCAUUCGGCCGAGGGCACGUCUGCUUGGGUGUCACGC